rnacentral:rRNA from 1 species
ACGGGAGGCAGCAGUGGGGGAUAUUGCACAAUGGGGGAAACCCUGAUGCAGCGACGCCGCGUGAGCGAAGAAGUAUUUCGGUAUGUAAAGCUCUAUCAGCAGGGAAGAAAAAUGACGGUACCUGACUAAGGAGCACCGGCUAAAUACGUGCCAGCAGCCGCGGUAAUACGUAUAGUGCAAGCGUUAUCCGGAUUUACUGGGUGUAAAGGGAGCGCAGGCGGUACGGCAAGUCUGAUGUGAAAGCCCGGGGCUCAACCCCGGUACUGCAUUGGAAACUGUCGAACUAGAGUGUCGGAGGGGUAAGUGGAAUUCCUAGUGUAGCGGUGAAAUGCGUAGAUAUUAGGAGGAACACCAGUGGCGAAGGCGGCUUACUGGACGAUCACUGACGCUGAGGCUCGAAAGCGUGGGGAGCAAACAGGAUUAGAUACCCUGGUA